GAUGAAGAACGUAGCGAAAUGCGAUAAGUAGUGUGAAUUGCAGAAUUCAGUGAAUCAUCGAAUCUUUGAACGCACAUUGCGCCCCUUGGUAUUCCAUGGGGCAUGCCUGUUCGAGCGUCAUUUGUACCUUCAAGCUUUGCUUGGUGUUGGGUGUUUGUCUCGCCUUUGCGUGUAGACUCGCCUUAAAAUAAUUGGCAGCCGGCGUAUUGAUUUCGGAGCGCAGUACAUCUCGCGCUUUGCACUCAUAACGACAGCGUCCAAAAGUACAUUUUACACUCUUGUCCUCGGAUCAGGUAGGGAUACCCGCUGAACUUAAGCAUAUCAAUAAGCGGAGGA
rnacentral:misc_RNA from 1 species